rnacentral:piRNA from 1 species
AUAAAGCUAGCUUACCGAAGUUA